rnacentral:rRNA from 1 species
ACCUAAUCCAGCCCCAGGAGAAUUGAGGAGAGCUGUCCCUAGUACGAGAGGACCGGGAUGGACAGACCGCUGGUGUGCCAGUUGUCCUGCCAAGGGCAUUGCUGGGUAGCUAUGUCUGGACGGGAUAAGCGCUGAAAGCAUCUAAGCGCGAAGCCCCCUUCAAGAUAAGUUCUCCCACUCGGUUAACGAGGUAAGACCCCAGGAAGAACACCUGGUAGAUAGGCCGGGAGUGUAAGGGCAGCAAUGCCUUCAGCUUACCGGUACUAAUCGGUCGAGGGCUUGACCUU